ensembl:lncRNA
GAACGGCUGAAGUGCCUUGGCAAAUCCCAGGUUGAGUUGAUAGCCAGGUCUUGUUAAGAAACCCUAAAGCAAGUUUUAGGACCCAAGAGCAAAUAAUUCACGGCUAAUCCUUAGCAUGAAAAUCAAGGUGAGAGCGAAAGCAAGCAAAAGAGGGAGAAAGAGAGAGAACAUCAGGGGAAUGAAUGCGCGAAAGAAAAGAUGACACAGGUGUAUACUAUAAAAUCAACCUUAUUCGACAGGAAUUUAUCCUCCUGAACAGCUGGGUGCAAUAUAUGUAAAAUACAAAGAAAAGACUACUGAUGGGCUGAACUUUACCAAAUGUAAAGA